rnacentral:rRNA from 1 species
UACGGGGGGGGCGAGCGUUGUUCGGAAUUACUGGGCGUAAAGGGUUCGUAGGUGGCUUGCUAAGUCAGACGUGAAAUCCCUCGGCUCAACCGGGGAAUUGCGUCUGAGACUGGCGAGCUUGAGUGCAGGAGAGGAACGCGGAAUUCCAGGUGUAGCGGUGAAAUGCGUAGAUAUCUGGAGGAACACCGGUGGCGAAGGCGGCGUUCUGGACUGCAACUGACACUGAAGAACGAAAGCCAGGGUAGCAAACGGG